AUAGGGGGCAAGCGUUAUCCGGAAUUAUUGGGCGUAAAGGUUGCGUAGGCGGCCAUUUAAGUCCUUGGUGUAAGUGCAGCGCUCAACGCUGUGAUGCUAAGGAAACUGGUGUGUCUUGAGUGAGAUAGAGGCAAGUGGAAUUCCAUGUGUAGCGGUAAAAUGCGUAAAUAUAUGGAGGAACACCAGUGGCGAAGGCGGCUUGCUGGGUCUUCACUGACGCUGAGGCACGAAAGCGUGGGGAGCGAACAGGAUUAGAUACCCUGGUAGUCCACGCCGUAAACGAUGAGUACUAAGUGUUGGAGAAAUUCAGCGCUGUAGUUAACGCAAUAAGUACUCCGCCUGAGUAGUACGUACGCAGGUAUGAAACUCAAAGGAAUUGACGGGACCCCGCACAAGCGGUGGAUCAUGUUGUUUAAUUCGAAGAUACGCGAAAAACCUUACCAGGUCUUGACAUCCCUUGCAAUGCUGUAGAGAUACAGUGGAGGUUAUCAAGGAGACAGGUGCUGCAUGGUUGUCGCAGCUCCG
rnacentral:rRNA from 1 species